rnacentral:lncRNA from 1 species
AGAGGUAGUUUGCGUGGAUGGCAGAGCUCAAUCAGCAUAUAUGAGGGUGAGGCACACAGCGGGCUCUCACACAAUUCUCAUCGGUUCACUUUGGUGUCGAAGUAGGACGGGAAUACGCAGUUCCUGGAACGGGACGCUGCUGUGGAGAAAACGAAUGUGUGGGCGUUGAAUGGGUUGCGUAAAGCUUGUCGGAGCGGGGCAAGGGACUAGAGACCGACUGUGUACCAUGGGAGUGGAGGGAGAUGAAUGCGGAAGGGAUGUGGGGAUAAUUUUUGUAUAUGGACCGUCGUGGUGUAUGCAAGAAGGUAGAACAAGGAACACAGGAAUCGCUCGAAACGGGCAGUGCACAGCGUAAACAGUGUGCAUUUUGAAAGGAAGAACCUGUGUAGUUCGAAUUCGGGAUCGAAAGGAUUAGUCAGGAAGAAUAUCAGAACUGAUAUGCUCUUCAUCCUUGCAAAAUGGACGUGUCAGACGGUCUUGACUGUAGAUGUAUAGAUUCUUGAUUGGUGUACAUAGUUUCGGAUUAUGAGAGUCGCAGUGCUAGCAACCGCAGUGUGUCUUUUCUGCAUUAGGCGCAAGAAAACGUAGAGUAAAUCAGGUACGCUUUGCGCCUGGAAAAUGAGAUUCUACUCCUGUCCAAAUGAUAUACUAUUGCACACAUAUCUUCAGAGGGGAGGAAUGAUUGCGGAUUACAUUCCAUCUCCAACAAAUCAGACAGAAUCCAAAUGUCCCAACCAAAUCUUGCAUUCCGCUCAUUGCAGUAUGUACUAGAAAUUCAUUCCUCAGCAGGCCACUGUGUGCUGAGUCAUUUGACUUUUCAAUUCACAUGUAGUUAUUAUUAAAGCACUUAUUGAGCUCAUGGUCACAAGCAAAAUUUGAAUUAGUGUAGCUAACUCUAUUACUGGGAGCUUUGUGUAUCUACAAUGCAACGCAAAUGCGCACAGUUGGUAAGCAUUUUGUGUUGUUGCAAAUGUAGGGCACAACAAGUAUUGCUGCGGCGGAGCGUCAAUUACAUUGCAAUCAACGUGUGCUUCUUCUCACUAGACGCGGGCAUGAUGCAUUCACUUCUCAACUCCAACAAUACUCCCCAAAACUGCAAAUUUCAGUGCAGUGUAAAAUCCACGAGAAACAAACCACAUGAUCAAAGGACAAAUAAUGCAAUAGAUAUUGCUACUUAUAGAAUAUAACUUUGAAGUUAUUUGAAUUCUCCAAUAACAAAACAGAAUUGGUCAUAAUUUAUUGUAAGCACUUAGCCUAAUAUAUGACUUAAGAAGUGACAAAUUUUUUACAUAUCUAUAUAUUCAAAGUGUAAGUUUAGAUAUUAUAAUGAUCAAUAACUUUUGGAUGUAAAAUUUAAUUAACUGUCUAACACUGGAACAAUUCCUUUAUACAUUCAUUGGCUUGAAUUGCAUCAACUUUGUAUACAAAUCAUUAACAUAUAUAUGUACUAAUAGCAACCUUUAUAAACUCUAGAUAUGCAAUAAUACUUGACUGUGCAUUUGUAUAGUCCAACAUCAUGAGUGGAUUUAAGUUAUGUACAAUUUUCCUACAAAUAGAUAUCAAGCGAUCAAUAAGACCAUUAAAAUAUUUCUUAUCACUAAAUAUUGGUGGCCUUCAUUCCAUAUAGAUUUUUACAAAAUAUGUUUCAUGGUACCAUGUUUGUUAAAUUGCCAAACUUAGAUUUCUAUAUAGGAAGCAAGUUUCUCUACAAUCUAUAUCUGAACUUGCUUUAUUUAUGCAUUAGAGCCUAAGAUUCAUCAGUGCUAUUAAACCAUGCACUAAGCUAUAUAAUAAAUAUAUAACUAUGGCAAUGAACUUUGUAAUCAAAUGGUGCAAGGCUUGUGCAUUAAAAAUAAAUACAACAUCAACCACCACCAAAUUCUUAUACAAAAAUAUAAUCAUAUAAUUUAGAUACUUGCUUGAGAUAGCUUCAAAUUAAGAAAUCUAUUUUGUAAAUGAAGUAACCAAUUAAUUCUUAGAUAAAUUCAUAAUCAAGUAUUGGAUAUCAUAUACUUAUUAUCUCCAACAAAAUGGUCUUACAAAAUCCACAAACAAAAUAGUUAUCAAUAUAAUACAUUGAUUCAUUCACAAUAAUAUAGUACAUUGAUUUAUUCACAACAACAAGGCUGAUUAAGGCAAAGAUUUAUCUGAUCUUCUAUAGACCAAUUGUAUUUCAUAUAAAAUUGCCAUUGUAUAGUUUCCUUUCAAAAUUAUGUUUUGGGGUAUAGCCCUUGCUAUCUUUAAAAUAUAUUGUACCAACUUUUGAUAAACUUGUGUAUCUCAAAGGCUCAAGUAUAAAAGCUAUUGUUUCUUGUAUUGAGGAUGUCAAGAGAAAUAAAGAGUUGUGCCAUCAAGCCAUUACCAACAUCAAAACAAUUAGAUAAAGAUGAUACCACAAUACAAAAAGUUAAUGUUAGUGCUUUAAAUCUAAGGAUAGUAAGAGAUCGAAUUUAUUAGUGGUUGUGUUUUGAGCUUUAUCUUGAGCAAUUUGAUAAGAUUUUGGCUCAAAAGUUUUUUAAUUUUGUGUAAUUAUAUUAAAAAAAUUUAUGCACAAAUUUUGUAGUAUUUGAGUUUUGGAUUUUUUUGAUAUGAAGAAAAUAGUUUAGAAGUGCUUCCAAAAUAAUGUUUUGAACAUCUUCUAGGGUUUCUAACAUGCUAGAAGAUCAAUGAUAGAUUCAUGGUUAAUAUUUUUUUUGGUAAAAUUUAAGCAUAGAAUCUAUAUCAUAUAGAAAUUUGAAAAAAAUAGAAGGGUUGGAUCUAGAGAUAUAAAUUUCUAAAGGUCAAGGUAAAAAUAUCCUUUGCAAGAAGAAAAUAUUUUGAAGGGUUUUGUCAUAAUUUGUACUUUUGUACCAAAUAAAGGGUUUUUUGGAAGCUAAGACAUCAUGUAUAAGUAAAAGCUAAUCUCUCUACAGCUAGGUAUCUAGUAUAUUCUUGGAUAGCAAAUUACACCAUACGACAAUGUAUCACAACUUCAUUAUUUAAAUAAAAUGUAAUCAUAAAGCAUUCUAUCUUAUUGGUAAUAAAAAUGGCAAAUUCUACAAAAAUAUUUAGAAAAGUUCAAACUAAGUAAGCUCUUUAUACAAAUACUUUGUGCAAUUAUGUUAUAAUCUCAACAUUAUUCCAUACUAGCAAUUUUUUUAUUUUCUUUCUCAUUCUAUACUUUGUGCCAUUGCCUUCUUAUACUCUUGAUUAUUUUAUUACUUUAUUGCUUUAUUUUCCUAUGUAUGUAAUAAAGCAACAACUUUACUUACAUUAUAUUUGAUUUUUUGCAUUGUUGAAGAUCCAAGCUUAGAUAGACAUGAAAGAUCAUGCGUAGAUAGAAAAUGUGGAAUUAAACAACUUUUAUUAGCACUUUUUUGGUGACAUUAAUAAAACUUAGUAUCAAAAAUUUGUGUAGAAUAUGAUUUUUUGCAAUGCUAGUAAACAUUAAAUCAUGAGCAAAGUAGAAGGUAAAAACAUCCUAUAAAUUAUAAUGUAUCUUUUUACAAUAUACUGAUUUAUAUUUGUAAGAAUAAUAUAUUUAAGAUUCCAUUGUGAGCACUCUCUUCAAAACUGCAAAUAUAUUAUCAAGUUCAAGACCAAGACAUGUAGGAGUUAUAGCAUCCACAUGAUUAAGAUUUGAGGCAAACUUCACAAAUAUAUAUUUAUUUGUGGAGUUUUUGCAGUAGUGUAUUUUUGCAAGUAAGCAAAUGUCAUGUCAAAUAUUAUAAUAGAUAUUUAUUUUUUAGAUUAAAAAAAACUAAAUUAAUAAAAUAAUAAUCAAUGACACAUUUAAAAAAAGAAUUAUAGUACUUAAAGUAAGAUCCUCACUUGUCUAAUAUGAUUUGCCUAUUUCUUAUAAAUUACAUAUACAUAAGUAAAAAUUCCAUGUCAUAAAGUUCUAGCAUUGUCAUAGAGAUACAUAUUUUUUCUAAUAUUUGUCUAUAUUAUAAAAAAGAAGUAAGUAAAAAUAUAUUUAUUUUAUAAUAUUUUUUAGAAUAGCUUUCUAAAAGCUUCAUAGAUGUUGUUUUGAUUUUACAUAUGUUUGUAGUUGAUUGAUAGGUUGGUAACUUGAUCAACAAGUUAAGCACGUGUUGGUGGUAUGUAAAAUAUGUUAACUAUGUAGUACACAUAUAAAAACCAUGUUUUAUAAGUUAAGAUAUGUGUCUUGUAAAAUUAAGAUAUUUUAGAUGUCCUAUUCUAAGGAAUAUAUAUUUAUUGUAAUAAUUAUCUAGGUAAUAUGAAUAGAUAAAAGUAGAUUAAUUUCAUAAUAUCUUCUAAAAAAGCUUUCUAGAAGUUUCAUAGACGCUGCUUUGAUUUUACAUGGGUUUAUAUUUGAUUGGUAGGUAAGAAACUUGGUCAACAAGUUAAUUAGAAGUUGUAGAUUACACUCUUUUAAACUAAUAUUGUCCUUAGUAUUUUCUUUGUUUUUAAGUCCUUUCUUCUAUUUGUCUUGAGCAAUAUUAGACAUCUUUUUUUCUAAGUAUUAUAAUGCUAGAACUUACUGAAAUAAAGAGAAUAAUAGGAUAAAUGUAAGAGCAAUUGAAGGAGUUAAUGCUUACUAUGCAUCAACUCAAUUUACUACCACAAGAAGCAACAAGAUUGACAGGAAGUGAAGUUAUAGAAAUGAUUGGAGCUGCUUCAACAUUUGCAUCGAAUCAUAAGCCUUCUCCUAUAGUCAGAUGUUCUUUCAAAGUUCAAGAACCAAGAAUUGCCCUAUCUGAGAAGUUCGAUGGCACCAAAUCAAAGUUUAGAGGAUUUAUCAAUCAAAUACAACUUAUGAUUUAACUUCAACCGCAAAGCUAUCCAAUUCUAGGAUCACAAGUUAGAUUCAUUGAUGCGCUUCUUUUGAUAACUGUACAAGUAGACUUCAACAUUACUAUAAUUCAAUAGCAACAUUAACAUCUCUUCAACCUAUACAUUUAGAAGUAGAUGAUAUGUAAAUUGAUGUGGAAUAUUUUAAAUCUCUUACUAAGCAAGAAAAGACUCAUCGUGGUCAAGAAGAAUUGUAUUUACAAUGUGGAGAAUUUAGGCAUACUGCUCAAUACUGCCCAAAGAAGCAAAGCAACCAUAAAAUGAGGAGUAUGGUGUUGAAGUAGAGAAAAUUUGCCUCAAAAAGCACUGGGAUUUUGGUUGCCAUUACAUACUCAAUCAAGUCUAAGAUAUAAAAAACUAAUUUUAUACAUAUAAUAUUUUCUCUUUUUGAGCAAUUACAUUAAAAUAUUAGCCCAAGUACCAAGAAAACAUCCAAAUGUAUAAUAAAGUAUCUUAAAACCUUAUAUAUCUUUAUGAGGAAUGUUUCUGGAACUUCAACAACUUAUAUCUCAAGUUUGAAUCAUCCAAAUAACCUUAAAUGUUACAUAAAGUACUAAUAUACUUUUAAAAACUUUCACAAAAAAAUUCAACUACAAAUUCAUUAUGGAUCUUGAGAUAUCGCCAAAAUCCUAACAGUAGCUUUAAACCCUAGCUUACAUACACUUGCAUGCUAAUUUCUUCAUAUCUCAUAAAAUAAGUACUUAAAUACCAUGAAACUUUGAUGUAUACCUUUUUAACUUAAUAAAUUUAUACUUAUAGAAAUUUUAAGGCAAAAAUUCGUCUUGAAAUUCAAGAUAUGGCUCCAAACAUUUUUAUCAACAAAAUGACUCACUUAUUGCCUUUGAAUUACAUAUGUUGUCUUUAGUGUCCUAUAACUCCUUCAUCUAAGCUUGAAAUUCGUCAAAUAGUAUAUCUAAAGUGUAGCCAACAAAGUGCUCUCUCUAACUCCAGUUGCAGAUCUUUCAUUGCUCUCUGUACGCAUAUGUUAUGCUUCAAAGAAAGAGAGUAGGUACCAAUUUGACACCUUAACUUUGAACACCUAUAUCUCCUUCAAAAAAACUUAAAAUCACACAAAUUCUUCACCCAAAUUAUAUCCAAAACCCUGAAUUUGCUGACCUUAGCCUCCAAAGCUCAAAUGAUCUUGAAAGAGAAAUACUAAUCCCUAAUUUGGCCUCGGGCAACCUUCUUGAAGCCCAUUGGGCAUGGCCUUUAACUAAUAGGAAUGAAGUUUCUCAUUCUUUGCCUUCAUCCAACCAUGCCUUCUUUUCAUCCCUCCCAAUAAGUCUCUUAUUAGUUAAGAUUUUUUACUUUAGGCUCUAAUCUCCUCUCAAGGCUCUAUACUAAACAUUUAGAUUCUAUAAUUUUUUUUUUUGAAAUGCUAUAACCAAAAAGAUAAACUCCAAAUAAAUUUUCUUAAAUCCAAUCUCUUUAAAUUAAUCAAAUAAAUAUUCUAACAUACACCAAGACUUAUAUACAUAUUAUAUGUUCUAAUUAAUUUUUACAUACUAUAAGCUUUUACAGUAUGACAACGGCGAUUAAAGAAGAUAGCAUGUCAAAAAACAAAUUUUUCAAGUGUAGAAUAGAUAAAUAAACUUUGCGGUAAGUUACAGGUUGGUUAUUGAUAUCUUUGAGAAUAACACUAAUGGUUAGGCAGUUUAGUUGGUAAUAGUAGGUUGUUAGUGGAAUAAAUAGUUAAGAAAUCAAAAGGUCAUAACCUUUGGAAUCCACUGGCCAACGGAUCAUCUUUUUGGUAGGAUAAAGAGGUUGAGGAAAGAGAGAUUAAAGCCAGACUGUGAGAGUCGUAAGCCAAGGCAAGCUUAGUGCUACCUCUUUUUGUUUCUUUCUUGUUGACGAGUAAUGGAUAGUUUCUGAAUAUUGAGAAGUUGAUUUGGAGUGCUAGACUAUAAGAGUCAUAAUUUUGUGCGAUGAAUUGAAAAACUGAAUACAAUAGGUAAGCUAAAGAUUAAUAAUUGAAUAUAUCUUAACCGCAAAGAGAGUAAGUGGGAGAUGAACGGAUAAGAAUAUGGAAGUAUUAUUGAAUUGAUAGUCAUAAAAUGGAUUAUAGAUUAAAUUAAGCCUUCAUGUUUUGUAGUUGAUAAUUGAUUUCAAGUAGCUAGAGUACAGUCAAUUGUGACACUAGCAGACCCAAUUCAUAUAACUAAUCUUUCUCCGUAUUUGAAUCCAUCUCUAUUAGUUCAAUUGCUUUGGUAUAUUGAAGCUUGAACACAACAAGAACAACAUUUUGGCGCCGCUAUCGGGGAAAUGAUAACAAUAUGAAAUGUUAGAAAUUGAUUGUAUGAGAGAUCAAAUUAUAUGUUGAAUGUAAACAUGAGAAGUAUCAGUUUUAAGGUUACAAAUAUGUGAGUUAUAAUUCAAGGCAGUAUUGAUUUUGUAAAGAAGAAUGAAAGAUUAUAAGUGAUAAUCAUGAAGGGAAGGAUUAUCAAAGAAUUAAUCGACAAGCAAAAGAAAGAUAGGAGCGAUUAUGCACAAGAAAUUUCCUAUGGGAAUGAUAAAAAGAAAUUGCAAGUCCAAAAAAAAUCAAAGGAAGAAAAAUUCAGAUUCAAAUAGUAAAGAGAUCAGUAAUAAUACCAAUGGUCACGGGAGUGUUAGAAGUACCAAUUGCAGUACAAAUGGGAGCAAUAGGAGACCGCACCACAAGUGUGGUACUAUUACCUACUUUUAGUGGUUGGCGGAGCUCUAAUCCCGAUCACCAUAAAUCUCAAUUCUUAACAACUUACAUGGCUAAUAAUGGUAGAACUAAAGAUAUUUGGUUGAGAUGGUUGCGAGCAACUUUAAAAGAUAUAGCUUUUGAAUGGUAUAUUUGGCAACCAGUGGGUAGAUUUUCUAAUUGGAAGGCCUUGAGGAACACCUUCCUAAUCUAUUUUAGAGCAAUUGGAUUUGAAGAUUGGCUUCGAGAAAGUUUUAUGAAUAAGAGGAUGUUUGUAGAGGAAUCAAUAGAGUCCUAUUAUGGUCGGAUCGCGGAUAUACUUUGUAAAUGGAUAAAUAAUCAAAUGCAACAUGUGUUUAUAUUGUCAAUAAUAAUCAAUGGUUUGCAUCCAUAAAAUUGAAAAUGUUUAUAAAAGAGGCUCGACCAGCUACGAUAGAGGCAUCGUUGGCACAAGCAAAGGUGUGAGAAGAAUGUCAUUAUGAUCAAUUGUUAACAGUGGGGGGCCACGAUGAUUCCAAGUUUAGGAACUCAACAAACAUAACUAGGAAAUGUGUCGAUGGAUAAUUAUCUACAAAUGGCUGACUCCAACAUGAAGAAUGUUAUGUUGCAACAACCAAUUAAUGCUGCACCACUCCAAGAAAUAGCGCCAAUAAUAAUGACACCUUAUUUUACAUCACCAAUCUAUCAACAACCGAAAUUGUUCACAAAUGCGAGUGUUAAAGAUCCAAAUGAAGCCUUGUUAUUAAAUCUAACAAAGAAGAUGGAAGAAUUGGUUGUGAAUUUGGCUAAAGAUAAGGAGAAACAACAUAAGCCUUCUAAUAUGAGACCUAAUAUAUGGUGUAAUAAUUGUAAUGAACAAGGUCAUUUUGAUACAGAAUGUCCAUCACCUAGACAAACGGGUGUUCAAUGUAUAUUUUGUAGAGGAAAGCACCCUAUCCAAAAGAGCUAGCAAUUACAAAGGCAACAAUAAUUCAGUAAUCAGACCAUGAUCCCACCGACUCAGUGGGAAGUCAAUCAAGUUUAAAUGAAAAAUAUGUAUAGAUAGAAUAAAAAUCAAUCUAAUCGAUAAAAUCAAACAUUCAAUAACUUUCAAAAUUCCAAUUUUAAUCAAGGGUCUGCAUCAAACCUCCAGAACUAUGGGAAGGAGCAGUAGAGGUAUCAACAAUAUGCUCCACUAGCAUCAUCGAACCAAGUACCCUCCGUACCAAUGGAACAACUAGGAUCAUUUUCUAACCCUACAUGGAACAAGCCUAGUAGGUAUAUAUCAGUGGAGACACCCAUAAUGCUAGAUGGAGGUACAAGAAGACCCCUUUGUUGUCUCCGUUGCAGACAGAUUGGUCAUUAUCCCAGUGAAUGUUCUAAUCCCAGAGCUAGUGAUGAUUAUGCGCUAGUAUGUGUAAAUUGCAAGUAGUCGAGAUAUACUUAUUAGUAAUAUAAUGCUCCGUUCAAUUUCAAUAAUCGAGAUCAGAAAAUCCAAAGCUAAGGAAAAAUGAAAGAGAUAAAUCAAGGUCCUCAAAAUUUACCACUUCAUCGAGUAGAAGUAGUCUAAGUUGUCCUUACAAGAAGUCAGCAAAAGGGUAAAUGACCAAUUCAACAUUUGGGUGAUCCUGAAGCGAAGGACCAAUUGGAUCCAAUUAUGGGGACAUUCAAUCUAGGUCUUGACAUGGGCUCCUUACUCAGUAUAAGACCUGAAUCGGUUGUGCACCCCAAUGAGGUACCAAUUACGAAGGCUUCGGUUCCGAGUCAAGCUGUUCUGUUCUCUACACAGUUUUGAGAAACGUCAUUUCCAUUAAAAGAUCUUCUUAAAGGCCUGAAUUCCAAGGAAUCAAUAUCAGUCUAAAUGAGAGAAAAAACUUACCCGUUGAAAGAAUCAAUUUUACAGUAGGGACCGUGCGGUUGGAACCUUGUUCAAUACAUCGUAAAGGUCUUAUUCUCUUCUCAAAAUCUUCUCUUUGUUUUAUGAUAAAUAUUAUUUUAAGACCUAAAUAUUACAAAGCCUCUACCUUGUUAGAUUCAGGAACCUGUGCAUGUUUCUUAGAUGAAGAAUUUGUUAAAAGACAUAGCAUAUUUUUAGUGAAGAAAAUUAAACCUGUUCAUGUAGAAGUCAUAGAUGGUCAUCUGUUAUCUUCAAGAGAUAUUACUCUUGAAAUCUUUCUUAUAGAAGUAGCAACUAAUGAUUAUAGUAGCUUUAUAAUAUUUAAUAUCAUUAGAUCUUCCUCUAAUCUAAUCAUUUAAGGUUUAUCAUGGCUAGAAAAAUAUAACUCUAAAAUAGAUUGGACUUCUUGUAGUCUUGACUUUUCUGAAAGUAUAAUUAAGAAUGUAGUUAAUUAAAUAGAAAGUCAUAAGUCUAGUACAAUCAAACAUAUAUUUGUAGGUGUAAGAGGUUUCUUGUAUGGUGCAAAAGAAGGAUCACCUUGUGUCAUUUAUAUUACAUCUGUUUCUACUGGUGGAAAGACUUUAAGUGGCAUUCCAAGCCAAUAUCAAGAUUUUUAAGAUAUAUUUGAGAAGAAGAAUGCAGAUAUUCUUCCAGAACAUCAUUCCUAUAACUACUCAAUUGACUUUCAAGAAAGAACACAACCGCCAUUUGGACCAAUUUAUAAUUUAUCACAAAAUGAGUUAGCUGAACUCAAGGAGUAUAUUGAAGAAAAUCUGACCAAGAAUUUUAUAUGCCAUUUCAAAUCUCCAGCAAGAGCUCUAAUUUUACUUGUGAAGAAAAAAGAUGGAUCAUUUUGGAUGUGUGUCGAUUAUCAAGGACUCAACAAAAUCAUCAUCAAGAACAGAUAUCCACUACCUUUGAUAUCUCAACUCCUUGACCAAUUGAAUCAAGCUAAGAUCUAUACACAAAUAGAUCUACAAAGAGCAUACAAUCUAGUAUACAUCAAAGAAAGAGAUGAAUGGAAGAGUACAUUUCAAAAAAGGUAUGGACAUUUCAAAUACAACAUCAUGCCUUUUAGACUUAUAAAUGUACUAGUAGCAUUCCAACAUCUAAUGAAUGAUGUCUUUCACAAGUUUUUAAAUGAUUUUGUUAUCUAUUACUUAGAUGACAUCUUAAUCUAUUCUAAGAACACAGAAGAAUAUGAACUUCAUGUUCGUCAUAUGUUACAAAAACUAAGAAAUGUGGGAUUCUAUGCCAAGAUAAAAAAGUGUAUAUUUCACACUACUCAAGUUGACUUCUUAGGAUACAUCAUUUCAAAUGAUAGACUUAUGAUGGAUUUUAAGAAAGUUUAAGCUAUUAUGGAUUGAAAGAUCCCAAAAAUAGUAAGAGAUGUUCAAUGCUUUUUGGGAUUUGCCAACUACUAUCGGAUCUUCAUCAAAGACUUCUCUCAAGUUGUAGCUCCACUUACACAUUUGACUUGUAAAGACAAACUUCAAUACAAUCAAAAAACAAAAAUAGCAUUUGAAGCCUUGAAGAUAACUUUUGUUUUUCCACCAAUCUUGUAUCGCAAAAAUUUUUCUAAGUCAUUUUUUAUGGAAACAAAUGCAUCAAACUUUGCUUUGAAUGUCGUAUUGUCAUAAAUGAGAAUAGAUAAUAAACUUCAUCUAAUAGCUUUUCAUUCCUAAAAUUUUUUAGCAAUCAAUAUCAACUAUAAGAUCCAUAACAAAGAACUUCUUUCAAUCAUGGAUUCAAGAAAAAUACCAUUAUCUAGAAGGUGCCUCUAAUCGAGUCACCUUGUAUACGGAUCACAAGAACCUUGAAUAUUUUAUGUCUGCAUGUAUUUUGAAUCAUCGCCAAGCUCAUUGGAAUAUAUCUUUGUCAAGAUUUAAAUUCAAAAUCUAUUUUUGACUAGAAAAAUAAUAAGGUUUAUCAAAUGCAUUUUCGAGACAAUCUAAUCUUGCACCAAAAGAAAGAAAUACUGCAUUAAAUCAUCAUUAGACAAUUUUCUUCAACUUUGAGCAAUAAAAUCAAUACUAAUUAUUGAUUCAACUUUCAUUAAAAAAGUUCAGUCAAGUAUGUCUUCUGAUCCUUUCAUUUGUAAUAUUAAAAGAAAUCCUUUAAAGUCUCAUGAUACUUUUAAAUUUGAAUUCAAAAAUAAUCUAUUAUAUUUUGAGAGACACAUAUAUGUUCCAGAAGGUGAAGCUCGAUUAUGUGACCUUUAAGCUCGUCAUGAAUUUCCAAUAGUAGGACAUUUUUAGUAUAAUAUAUCUUUGGAACUAAUAUCUAGAGAUUAGUUAAAUCCUAAACCUUAAAUCCUUCAAAAACCUUGAUGGAUUUAUAGGUGCACUUCUAUGUGAAAGUGCUCUCUAUUGGUUUGAUUCUUAGAUAAAAAAAAAGGACUCAUAACUCUUUUAUGAUUGGAAUUCAUUCUUAGAUGUAUAUUUGAUGGCCACAUUUUGAGAAAGUGAUCAAGAAAGAAUAGCAAAAAUUAAGUUCCUAUCUUUACAACAACGAUCAUGAUCAGCCACCAUAUAUGUUGCUGAAUUCCAAAACCUCACUUACAAUAUAGACUAAAAUGACAAAGCCUUCAUCAAUCAGUUUUAAUAUAAAGUAAAGAAUAAUGUCCAAGAUUUAUUAUUGACAAUGUCAAAAAUAAAAUCUUUGAAAGAAUUUAUUGCUUAAGCCAUUGCAUGCAAUAAUCAAUUAUUUAAAUGGCACCAAGAACAAAAAUUUGAUUACAGACAAGUGAGUUAAGCAAUGACAAAAGCUUCUAAUUUUUUCAAAAACUUAUUUAUCAAGGUCAAAACCAAUACAAAUUGAUAUCAUACAUUUUAAAUCCUUUACUAAGUAAAAAAAGACUUAACAUCAUUAAGAAGAUAUGUACUUAUAAUAUAGAGAAGCUUAGCACACUAAUCAACAUUAUUCAAAGAAGCAAUGCAAUUACAAAGUGAUGAGUAUAAUUGCUUAAGAAAAAAAUGUAUCACAAAAUAAGUUUCUUCAUCUACAAUUAGAAUUAUGCAGCUUGAAUUAUAUAUAAUUUCUAUUAAAAGAACUAUUCUUUCCUCCAAUCUCUCAUCCUAUUGUAUAUAAGAUGUGUAUUUAGGACCUUAAAAUCACAAAGUCUUUGCAUUAUUAGAUUCUAGAGCCUCAGAUUGUUUUAUAAACAAAGACUUUGUCAAGAAGCAAGAAAUAUCUUUAAUCAAGAAAACUAAAUCUAUAUAUGAAGAAGUUGAAAUGAAGGAAUUAUUGGAUUUUGAAGUCAAUACAUGCAAUCUAAGGAUAGUAAGUGACUCAAUUUACUAGUAGUUGUGUCUUAAGUUAUAUCUUGAGUAAUUUAACAAAGUUUUGGCUCAAAAUUUCAAGAAAUGUUUAAUUUCAUGUUAAUAAACUUUGUACAUAAGUUUGAUGAUAUUUGAGUGUUGGAUUCUUGAGAUAUUAAAAAAAUAGUGUUCAAGUAUUUAUAAAUUAGGAUUUAGAGCGUCUGCUAGGAUUUCUUAGAUGCCAAAAGAUCGGAAGUGAAUUUCCAAUUGAUUUUUCUUAUGAUAAAACUUAAGAGUAAAUUCUACCUAUCCUAUAAAUUUUAGACAAACUGAAUAGUUAGAUCAAGAGUUAUGAAUUUCUAAAGUUUGAGACAAGAAAAUCCUUUGCGGAAAAAAUAUGUUUUGAAGGGAAUUUGUUAUAUUUUGAGUUUUAUGCAAAAAACUUACAAUAAAGGUUUAAGCUAUACUUUCUACAGCUAGAUACCUAGUGUAUUCCCAGAUAGCAAAUCAUGCCAUAUGACAGACUUGGUGAACCCAACAUAAAAAUUUCUGGGAUAGAGAGUUUUGAAGAAAUAUUUUUGGCUUUUUAUUAUGGAAGGGAGGUAAGGAAGUAGUAGUAUGAAUUACAUUGGAAAAUCUCCAUUGCAACUUGAUCCUACUAUAACUCAAAUAUUUUAAGCAUUUAUACUUUUUAUGCAACAACAGCAAGUAGUGGAACGCAAGGAAGUAAUGGCUACUAAAGCCUUACAAUUUGUUGUUGGUUUAUUGGAUCAAUUUGAUGGAAGAAAUAUUUCCAAGUAUCUUAAGUAUUAUUCUUAGAAGAUAGAGCUCAAUAAAGUGUCAGAGAAAGAUAUGAUCCUAACAUUUGAGCUUGCAAUUGUACAAGAGCUUGGUGAGCAUAUAAAGGGAGUUAUUAAAACUCAUGGAGAGAAAUGGGAGGAUUUUAUCCUUUAGCUAAAAGAAGAGUAUUCAUUGGAAGAUAUAGAAAGGGUGACAUGAAAAUCGUUUAUGGAAUGGGUCAAUAAAUCUAACAAGGGGUUGAUUGCAACAAAGUUAUUCUGAGAAUUUGAAAGACAAUUUCUUCAAUUGUCUCGAGUAGAAAAGCUUAUACUUGAAAAUGAUAAGGUGGAGUUAUUUCUUCAAUCAGUUGGUAAUGAUUUACAAAAGGAGUUGGAAUUAUUAUUAGAGGAUAAUAUAGAAAAAAACAAACUUACUACUGAUUGGAAGAAAGUCUCCGAAGUUAUGGGCAUAUUUGCUAAAAGAGAGUAUGAAAGGAGUAAGGUGGUAGUUAGGUAAGAGACCAGACCUCCACCAACUACAAUAUCUUGUAGACAACUUCCAGAACCUACUAUAUCAGUAAAUAUAAUUCCAAUUCUUUUGUCUACAGUUGCACCACAAAAAGAUGUGAUUGAUGAGUGGGUAAAAGGAAUGAAAGACUUACAAAUCAAAUUGGCAAAGAUAGAGGAGAAAGAAGGAUUACUUGAAAGCAAAUGUAUAUCAAAGCUAAGAUAUAUACAAAGAUGUAUUUGGUAUGAUAGUAUGAAGCAUCCUUGAAGAGAGUGUGGAGAUUUUGCUGAUAUUUUGUAAUACAGAGUAAUUUUAUGGAAAGAUGGAAAAAUUAUGUUGCGAGAUAUAGGUGGGUUUUUCAAAACCAAUUUUGGAAAGAAACGGAUGAAAAAGGUUUUGAAAGAGUAUUUAUCUCAAUAGGCUAUGGCAUCAAGAGAAGCUAUUACUUAUGGCAUUGAGGUUGUAAGAGAUAAAGAUGAUGUUUUUAAUAAGCAUGUAAACACAGGGGAUCUAUGAAAUCAUGCUAUUAUCAGCAUGAAUAAAAAAAAAUAACAAGGCAAAAAUUACUUAAUACAUCCACAAUAAUUAGAAAUACCAUAGGAUAGGAUGAUCCUAUAGAUAUUAUGUCUGUACAUGGUUAAUUGGAAAAGUCCCAACAUGAAGCUUUAAUGGAGAUAAAAAGAGAAAGAAAUGAAAUAGAAGAAAAUUUUGAAGAGCUAAUCAACAAUAGGAGAUCUCAAAGGCAUGCAGAAACAAUACAAAAUAAAGAAAUACCUAUACCAUAAGCUAAUAGAUCAUCUAAGGCUGGACCAUUAACAUUGCACCCUGGAAAAGUACCACUGCCAAAAGAAAAAUGAGAAGAAAGGAUGGAAGUUAAUAAAGACAAAGCGAAGAAUAAGCAUAUUACUUAUAAACUUCAAUAUUUGAUUGAGAUAGCCACAGAUUUAAAAGGAGUAUCGGAAGAAAGAAUAUUGAAUGCCAAAAAUUAAUUUACUCUAUGAGAAAUUUUAGGCAUUGCAAAGAGAGAGUUUCAUAAAGUCAUCAUCAAUACCAUUAAGCGAAAGAGGUAGUUGAUAGGAAAAUCUGCUGUAUCUAGUACUUUGGAUACAAUCUUGACUAAUGAAGAGGAACAUAAAUUGGUAGAAUGUUGUAUCAAUAAAAAAGGAUAAUUUUAUUUGGAUGAAUACAAGGAUGAUGACAAGGGCCCUGGACACUAUACCAAGGGACAUUGGACAAGAGCCACCACAGAGACUUUAGUAAAAAUAGAAGACUUGGUAGAACUAGUAAUUGCUCUCAUUGACCAUGGAUCUGAAAUUAAUAUUAUAUCAAAAGAAUUCUAUAAAUGUGGAAGGUGGCUCAUUGAUAUUAACCAUGGAUGGGUGAUUUGGGCAGCAAAUUAUACACGAGGAGAUCUUUAUGGUGUUUGCCCCAAUAUGAAGGUAAAAGUUGGAGAUGUAACUACAGAAUAAAUUGUUUUUGUUCAAGACACUACAUACCCAGUGAUAUUUGGUCAACCAUAUAUUAUAGCUAUGAGGAUGGAAACCAAGGUUUUGAAUGACAGAUUAACAUGUGCCCGUAUUAGAAGUCAAGAUGGAAAAAGGGCAGUGCAAUUUCUAACAAUACCUGCAAACCAUGAGCACAAUCGAGAUUAUUUACGAAGUGAUUUAUUACUAAGGAUUAGUGAAGAAUUUACAGAUUUUUGUAGGAUAUCUCUAUAGAGCAGUGUCAGAGUAGAGAGAGUUUGGCUCAAGAAAUUGCUGGGCUUCUAGCUGCCACUUAAUAUUCAAUCAAGUUUAAGAUAUAAAAUACUAAGUUUAUAUAUAUAUAAUAUUUUCUCUUUUUAGGUAAUUACAUCAAAUACACAAGCCUCAAGUAACCAACAAUACCAAAAUAUGAUAAAAUCUUCUAAAACCUUAUAUAUCCUUGUGUGGAAAUUUUUUCAAACUUCAAUAGCUCAUAUCUCCUAAUUUGACAGUCUAAACAAACUAAAAUUUUACAUGAGGUACUGAUGUUUCUUUAUUAACUUCUAUAACAAAUUUCAACCAUAAAUUCAAUGCAAAUCUUGAGAUAUCUUGAAAACCCUAACAAUCGCUUCAAACCCUUGUCUUUAUAAUCUUAUGUAUAAUUUUCUUUAUAUCUCACAAAAUAUAAGCUCAAAUGCCACGAAAUUUAUACAUAUAGCUUCUUAAUACAAAAUGUUACAUUUUUUAAAAAGUUUGAGCUAAAAAUUCGUCUGAAAACACAAGUUAUGGCUCCAACUAUUAUUAUAAACAAAACCGCUUACUUACUACCUUUGAUUUGGAAGUGCCACUUUCAACUCCUUAUAAUUCCUUCACAUGAACUCCAAAAGCAAUAACUUUUUUAUGAAAGAUAUAGGCCUUAAAAUUGCUAUUCCAUUUGUACCUUCUGAUCUUCAAAAGCUAUUGUACAACUCUUCAUAUCCUCAAAAGAGUAACAAUAUGUCUUAAAUUAAUACCUUAACUUCAAACGGCUAUAACCUUUUUAUUCCAACUCCAAAUCCUCUAAUUUUUAUACACAAAUUGUACUCCAAAUCCUAAACUUUAUAAUUCUAGCUUUUAAACUCAAAAUGACCUCUUUGAAGUCGCCAAAACCCUUGUUAAGGUCACAAGCAUGGUAUUCAACUAAUAGAGAUGAAGUUCUCCAUUCCUUGCCUUCAUCCAACCAUGCCUUGCUUUCAUCCCUCUCAAUCAAUUAGCCUCUUACUAGUUUAGAUUUUCAUCCUUAAGCAUCUACCUUCUCCCAAGGCCUCAUACUAAAUAUUUAGGUCCUAUAUAUAUAUAUUUUUUAAUGUCAAAAUUAAAACAAGUCAAGAAACAAAAUAAAGUUUCUUAUACCAACUCUUUUUAAUUUAAUCUACUAGUCAUUCUAAUACAAAUUUAGAUUUAUUAAUAUAUAAUAUAUUUUAAUUAAUUUUUAUAUAUUGUAAGCAUUUAGUGUACGACAAUGGGAAUGUAGUGGUACAUCAAAGAAGGUAUUCUUGCAUGAAAAAGAAAAUACCUUUUGUAUAGGUAUUGUAGAAUUAUCUAAGAAUGGAUUUGAUAUCUAUACACAACUUAAUGAUCUACCAAAGUGGGAAAAAAAAGUUAUACAAAAAUCUAAGAAAGAUCUAAAAAGAGUGGAUGUAUUUGAUGGAGAUGAUAAGAUAGUAGGUGUAUAUAUGGAGACUGGUUUAGAAGAUUUUAUGGAAGAAUUUUUAGAGGUUGAAUAAGAAAAUGAAGAUCAAGUGGUACAAGUAUAUUCAAGAGAGCUCUACUCAACUAUACAAGCAUUUCAAGAUUAUGAAGUCAAAGUUGAAACUAGAUACAAGACUGUAGAGAGGAAAAUAAAACCUAUAGCUAUACCAUUAUCUAGUAAUUUCAAUCAUCAAGUUCAAUGAGCUUUGAAGGAGAAGGGCUUAUGGGAUCCUAAAUAAAUUGGCCACAAGUUUAUGAAGAACUUACUCAAUGAGUUGAAAGUAAGAUCUACAAAUUUUCUAUUACCUAUUGAAGAAAUGGAAUUUAGAAAUAUGUUAAGUAUGCAUGAAAAGGCUUUUGCUUUUGAACCUUCAAAAAUUGAAUGAAUCGAUCCAAGUGUUGUCGCACUAAUGAUUAUAUUUACAGUUUUGCAUGUUCAUAGGAAUUUAAGACCAAUUUCAAUGCCUAAAGCACAUCUAUCUAAACUUAUGGAGCUUUUAAAAGAAAAUAUAUAAAUGAAGAUCCUAGAGCCAUCAUUUACACCAUAUUCUAGUUGUUGGUUUACAGUACCAAAGAAAAAUGGAACACUACGAUUCAUUCAAGAUAUGCAACCAAUGAAUCAAGUAACUAUUAGAAAUAUUGGAGUUGGACCAAUUCUUGGAAAAUUUGCUGAGACAUUUGCUAGUAGAGCUAUUUACUCUAUUGGAGAUCUCUAUUUUGGAUAUGAUCAAUUUCAACUAGCUGAAAGAAGUAAAGAUAUUACUACUAUGACGACACCUUUAGGAUUAGUUAAGAUGUGUACAUUGCCACAAAGAGGAACAAAAUCAAUAGCUCACAUGAUGAAUGGGAUAAAUAAGGUUCUUCGUGAUUUCAUUCUAGAAAAGACUAUGUCUUAUUUGGAUGAUAUUCUAAUAAAAAGGUAUGUAAAAGAAGAGAAAAAUGAAACAAUGGAUCAAAAGGGGUGUUGUAAAUUUAUAUCUAAUCAUAUUUUAGACUGUGACAAAAUUUUAUCUCGACUUGAAGAGGUUCACUUGAUACUAUCAGGAGCUAAAUCUACCUUUGGAGUUUGAAAGUUAUUAUUGUGGGGCAUUUGUGUAGAUGGUUUGGUCGUAAAUGUGAUCCUAAUAAGAUAGAUGCCAUACAAUAAAUGAAAGAUAUUUGUAGCUCACAAACAGAGGUAUAGAGAAUUUUAGGAUCUUGCAUAUUUUAUUAUGUAUGGAUUCCUCAUUAUGCACAUGUAGCUAAUCCUCUUUAUAGUUUGCUACGAAAAGGGAAGAGAUUUAAAUGGGAGAAGAAGCACACAGAAACAAUUCAAAAGCUAAAGCAAUUAUUAUCUUUUUCACCCGUAUUACAAAGGAUAAGUUAUGAAGAUGGCAAAUCUGUGAUAUUUAUAGUUGAUACUAAUCCAAUAGCUAUUGGUUGGGCUUUAGGACAAAAUGAUGAAGAAGGUAAUAGGUUUGCUAUUAGAUUACGAUCUAAAGUAUUAAAUGAACGAUAAAGAAACUAUCCACAGGUAAAACAGAAGCUAUGGAGAAUAGUUACAGCUAUGAAAAAUGAAAGAGAUUAUUUAAUUGGGGCACCAGUGAUAGUAGAAACAAAUUGUUUGCCACUAUUGGGAAUCAUUACCAACUAUAACAUCCCUGAUAUUGCUAUGCUAAGAUGGAUUAUAUAUAUUAAAUCUUUAAAUCUUAAAUUUAGGCAUAUAGUAGGCAAAGAUAAUCUUGUAGCAAAUAUGCUAUCCCGAGCUAGAUAUAAACAAGAAGAAGUUUUAAUUGAAGAUAGUGAAGAUAUAGGUACUACUUUCUUUUCUAGAGCCCAACAAGGAGAAGAUGAAUAUCUAAGACCAUUUAUAGAAGAAUUAUAUGAAGAAGAAUGGAUUGAUAUUGAACGCUAUUUAAGCACAUUAUCGAGACAAUCAGGAUGGAAUAAUAUUCAUUUCAAACAGAUUAGACGGAAGCCUUACAACUACCUCUUAGAAGGUGAUUACCUAUGGAAGCGAUACAAACGGGAUAGUAAAAUGCCACAAAGAAUAGUUUGCAAGAGAGAGAUGUAAGAACAAUUAAUCCAUGAAUUCCAUGAUAGUUUGUGGGCUGGACAUAGAGGUAUUUAUACCACCUUUAAUAAGCUUAAAGAAAAAUAUUGGUAGCAUAACAUGUAUAGAGAUGUGGUGAAGUUUGUAGAAUCAUGCCAAAUUUGUCAGAUAUACUCGGAGAUUUGACAUAGAAAUGGAUUGCAUCUAAUAUAUCCACUUACAAUAUAUUAUAAAUAGGUUGUAGAUCUAGUUACUAUGUCCAUAGGGAUAUGGCAAAUACGGUACUUGGCUCUAGCACGAGAAGAUUUAUCUAACUAAGUAGAAGGAAGAGCUGUACAAACAAAAUCCACUGAAGGAGUUUGUAGUUUUUUACUCAAAGAUGUAAUUUGUAGAUAUGGAUGUAUUGAAAAAAUUACUACUGAUCGUGGAGAAUUAGAUGCUCAUGAGGCUAGACAGUUCUUUGAGAGAUGUGGAGUCAAGCUAGCACUUACUACAUCUUAUAAUCUAGAGGGCAAUGCUAAGAGUGAAGUCAUCUUCUUAUUGUAAAGGCCAUUGUUAAAGCUUGCAAAGGAAAAGCAAAAAAAUUACCAAGGCUAUUACUAUUUGCUCUUUGGACUGAUCAUACUAUUCACAAUUCAGUGACAGGAUAUAUGCUAGCAGAGUUAAUGCAAGGACAAAAGUCCAUUAUGCCAAUUGAAGAGCAAAUACCUACUUGGAGUAUCUUGCCUUAGCAAGAUAAUAUAUCUAAAGAAGAACUUCUUGUACUUCGAAUUCGUCAACUAGAGAGAAGACUUGAAGAUAUAAAAAAAUUAAUUAUAAGGUUGAGAGAGUUGCACUUAAAGAAUAAUGAUAGAUUUGAUUAGCGACACAGUUUGAUGCCAAAAGAUAUUCAAGAAGAUGAUUGGAUUUUGAUACAUGACAACAACUUAGAUAACCAACAUAGUGUUCUUAAAAAGUUUUCUAAGCAUUGGUUUGGACCUUAUGUGGUUGUACAUAUUUUGGAUAAUACUAUAUAUGCAUUAAGAGAAUUAGAUGGAACAAGAUUCAAAAUUCCAAUUGUAGAAAAACGUAUAAAACUUUUCAAACAACAGGAUCAAGAACUAGUCCUCAAAGAUGAUGAAGAAGAAUUUGAUCUAUCUAGGUAUAAGGAAGAAGAAUUGGAUUUUGAAGAAGACAUUAUUGAGGAGGUAAUAUGACACCGACGACAACUUUAGUUUUUCUUAGUGCAUACCGAAGGAUGGACAUGUUUAGAAAGGAUGGAUGUCGUAUUCUGGUUCGGCUACCAUAUGAAAAUAAUGUAAUUAUGUACUUAAUAUAUAAUUUAUUAAGUAACAUGGUGAGAGCCAUGUUAGUAGAUUUUAGUUGGUUGUAGAAUAUAAUUUGAUUAUUACUUUGAGAAGAGAUUUUUAAAAAAAAUUACUAUAGAAUUUUUAUAACUUUAAUUUCCUUUUGAUAGUGGCUUUUAAGAUUGGUUUUGGUUGAUAGUAACUUCUAAAUACUUAGAGUCACCUUUGUUAGACAUUGGUGGCCUUUGAAAACUUAUUUUGGUUCUUUUAUUUGAUGUUUAGAGCAUAAAUUAUGUAAAUCUUAUAAAAAAAAGGAUUGAAGAAAGAUUUUGGUAGCUGUAGAAUAGGCAAAUAAACUUUGUGGUAAGUUACUAGUUGGUUAUUGAUAACCUUGAGAAUUAGACUGAUAGUUAGGUAGUUUAGUUGGUAAGAGUAGGUUUCUAGUGGAAUAAAUGGUUAAAAAUUCAAAGGAUCAUAACCUUUGGAAUCUGUUGGUCGAUUGAUCAUCUUUUUGGUAGGAUAAAGAAGUUGAGGAAAGCGAGAUCGGAGCGAGACUAUGAGAGUUGUAAGCCAAGAGCUAGACUGUGAGCAUCGUAAGCUGGGAUAAGCUUGGUGCUAGCACUUUGUUUUCUUUGCUUUUAUUAUUUACUUAUAAAGAAUUAUAAUUGAGAGAAGUAUUGUUGAAUUGAUAGUUGUAGAAUGGAUUAUGUAUUGAAUCAAGAUGGAAGUAGUAAGCCUUGGUCUUUUAUAGUUUGAUAAUUGAUUUCAGAUAGCCAGAGUACAGUCAAUUGUGACAAUAACAAACCCAAUUCAUAUAACUAGUCUUUCCUCAUGUUCGAACCUACCUCUAUGAAUUCAAUUACUUUGGUAUACUGAAUCUUGAACACAACAAGAACAACAAUAGCAAAGGGAGUAAUUAGGGCACCAAUAUAGAUGAAUGGAGUUGAAUGAUAAAAAUCUCCAUUCCUAUUAGUCAAAAAUCAUAACCAAUAGGGUUUGAGGAGGCUGCCUGAGGCCAUAUUAGAGAUUAGGAUUAGUUUUUCGAGGCCAUUGGAGCUUUGAAGGCUAGGAUCAACAAGUUUAGGUUUUUCGAUAUGGUUUUGGUGCAAAUUUUGUAUAGUUUGGAGUUUAUAUGAAGGAGAUAUAAGCAUUCAAAGUUAAGGUAUUGAUUUGGGAGCCACUGUCACUCUUUUUGGCAUAACGAGCACGUACAGAAAGCAAUUGAGAAUCAGCAAUUGCGAGAGGAGAGAGAACUUUUUUGGCUACACUUUUUGCAUAUUGCAUGCUGGAUUCCAAGAUGAAACAAAGGAGUUAUUGGAUUUUGAAGUCAGCUCAUGCAAUCUAAAGGUAGUAAGUGACCCGAUUUACUAGUGGUUGUGUCUCGAGCUAUAUCUUGAGUAAUUUGACAAGGUUUUGGCUCUUAAUUUCAGGAAAUGUGUAAAUUCAUGUAAGUAAACUUUUUUUAUAAGUUUUAUGAGAUAUAAAUGUUGGAUUCUUGAGAUAUUAAGAAAAUAGUGCUCAUGUGCUUGUAAAUUAGGAUUUAGAGUGUUUGCUAGGAUUUCCUAGAUGCCAAAAGGUCGAGAGUGAAUUUGUAAUUAGGUUUUUUUGUGAUAAAAUUUAAGGAUGAAUUCUACCUAUUCUAUAAAUUUGAGACAAAUUGAAUGGCUAGAUCAACAGUUAUGAAUUUCUAAAUUUUAGAAAAAAAAAACCUGUUGCGGAAAAAAUAUAUUUUCAAGGGAUUUUGCUAUAUUUUGAGUUUUAUGCAAAAUAAAGGAGUUUUUGGAAGCUUAGAUAAGAUUUAUAUAAAGGUUUAAGCUACUCUCUCCAUAGCUAGAUAUCCAAUGUAUUCCCAGAUAGCAAAUCAUGCCAUACGACAUCGGGACGCUCACUUGACAACCUCUCGUUUGAUCCAUCUGUCUAUGUCUUUUGGAUAUUUAGUAAGAUAUAUUUUCACAAUUCUUAAUAUAUAUAUAUAUAUAUAUAUAUAUAUGUGUAUAUAUAUGUAUAUAUUUUCAUAAAAUGUUCAUCAAAGAAUCGUCUCUCUUAGUUAGAAUAUCUCUAAAUUGAAAGGAAGACAAGACAAAUGAAUAUGACUAUAACUUAUCUUGAGCUCCAAUAUUUUAGUUUCUAAAUUCUACCUAGGUUUGAUAAUUUACCACUUAAGGAAUUGAAUAAGAAUAAAUUUGUGACUUAAGGAAUUGAAUAAGGACAAUCUAUAUUCUUUACAUCUAUUUCUAGAUGUUCUAAUGAAAAAAUCUUCGCCAUAGAGUGUUUGUAGCCAAACUAAAUUAUUUGAAAAGACUUUCUUGAGUAUGUAGGGGCCCAACCAUAUGGCAUCAAAUUUCCCUAGAAAAUCUAGUCUCCUAGCAUCUUGUAUGAGAACUAAUAUGCCAGGUUUAAGAGUUCUAACUUUAUGUCACUUAUCAAAGGUAAUUUUUCUUCUUCUUUGGAUGGCCUUUGUAUAUUGAGCACUUCAUCUUGUAGACUAAUCUAGACCUUCUAAUUGCUCUAGUCUAUCAAUUAAAGAUUUUUUAGUUGACAAUCUUUCUUUCAAGGUAAUUCGAAUGGAAGGAAUUUCAAAUUCAAUCGAUAAAAUAGCUUCUAUCCCAUAAACCUAGGAAAAUGGAGUUGUUAAUAUUGUCACUUUAAAUGUUGUUCUAUAAGCCCACAAAGCUGUAGGGAGCUAUAUCCCAAUCUCUUUUAGAUGUUGUGACAAUUUUUCUAAGGAUAUUAAUCAAGGUUUGAUUUACUUUUUCUGUAUGCUUAUUUAUUUGACGGUGAUAAGGAGUAGUUUUUCUAUGGUCAAUUUUAAAUCGGGAGGUCAAAUCUUCUAUAGCUUCAUUUAAAAAAUACUUGCCUCUAUCACUAAUUAAGAUUUUUGGACAUCCAAACCUAGUGAUGAUUUGUUCAUAGAGAAAUUUGGCAGCCUGUUUGGCAUCAUUGGCUUUCAUUGCCUUUGCCUCCGUCCAGUUGGUGAAGUAUUUGGUUGCUACCACUAUGUAUUUUAUACCUCUAGUGGAAUUGGGAUGAACCUCUUCAAUAUAAUCAAUUUUAUAUUUUUCAAAGAGAACUAAAGGUAGGGACACAUAGAGAGACAAACUCAUCUUUAGGUCAUUCCUAACAUAUCAUUGACAUGAGUCGCAUGUCUUAGUAUAUCUAUGUGAAUCUUAAAAUAAUGAGGGCCAAUAAUAACCUAUUUUAAGUAGUUUUUAGUCUAUUAAGGUUCUUGAAAAGUGACCCCCACUUAUACUAUCGUCACAUGCCAAUAGAAUGGUAGGAAAUUCUUCUUCCAUUACACGCCUCCUUAACAUCCCAUUGUCGUGUUGUAACACGAGUAUACAGUGAAAAUAAAAAGAAAAGGGGAAUUUUAUUAAUAUUCAGUUACCUCAAAUAUUGGGAGCAUCGACCAACUCCAGUGCAAAUACUGAGUGGUCAGGUUCAGUCACUCCGUUACAGUCAGCCGGGGCAUAUUGAAAUGCUCCAUUCGAUUUCGAUAACGGAAGUCAGUAGGAAGAAAAGGACCAAUUCACACGAUGGGUUCGAAGAGCCAAUUGGAUCCAAUUUCGAGAAUCCAAUCCGGGUCCUCUUACCUAAUAUGAAACCUGAAUUGGCCGGUCAACCCAAUGCAAUCUAAUUACGAGAAAUCCAGGUCUUACUACGGGUCUUAGCCAAUCCGACGCGAGGACCAAUUUGACCCAAUUAUGGGAACAUCCAGGUUAUUACGGGCAUCUUACCCAAUAUGGGACAUGAAUUGGUCGGGCGACUCAAUGUGGUCCCGAUUACGGAGUUUCGAUUAUGUUUCGGGCUCUCCUGUUCUUUGUGCCGUUUCAGGGAACGUUGUUUUCGGUAAAUGGAUCUCUUAAAGGUAAAAACGGAGGAGAAAGCUCUGAUGGCGAGAACCAAUUUUGGAUCCAAGCUUGACGGUGGGAGCCAAUUCCGGAUCUAAGAUGGAAGAUUGAAGAAAUUCAGAGGAUAAGAUUAGGGGGGAUAUAGUUUUGAAGGGGGGUUUUUUUUUUUUUCUCUGGGAAUCGGGGGGAGCUAGUUUUCAAGCUUUUGCAAGGUUACUAGUUCGGUUUUCAUUGGAUGUUUCUGAAGAUCAAAGAGGAAUUAGAGAGAGGAGCUUCAUGCUUCGGGUCGGGGAAGGAAAGACAGAGAAUUUGGAUUUUUCUUCUUCGUAGAGUUUUGGGAAGGCUGAGGCAAUCGCUGCUGAAGUCAGUAUUGUAAUAGUGAAUCGGGAUUUUUAAUGAAGUGGGUUUGAAUACUCUUGACUGUUUUGUGAAAUCGAGUUACGUCUGUGAUUGAAGGAUUAAAAGGGCGUCUAUAGGAUUGAGUAUGCGGAGUGAAUGAAAUUUAUUGGGUUAAUCUAACAAGACAGUCAGUGGAUACAAGAUCGUAAGUACAAAGCGGUAUUGAAGAUUAACAGUUUGGGUUGUUCGGGGUUCUCUGUAACGUCUAGAAACCUAUCGGCUGGGACAAAAAGGACUUCGACAAGCAGUCGAAGAGCAUCCGUAUAGAUUUAUGGUACAUUGUUGUAGUUGUUUAUAUUCCAGCAGUCAAAACUGAUAGACUGCUUGACUAUCGACAAAUCUCCAUACUACCUUCUACAGCCAGACGCCCAGCGCGUUCUCGAGCAGAAAAGCACGUAAUACGACACCGUCAACUCCACGUCUAUAUAAUUUGCCACUAACUAUGGUAAAGUACCUACUAUUAAUUGUUACCUUCUUACGUUCUAUUUUAGAAAGAUGAGGAGGCAAGGCUUGAGUCAUCAGAAACUUCAUAAUUAAUGCAUACCAAGUGGCCGUGGUUGAAAUGAUAAACAAGGUUUCAUCUAUCAAUGUGUCAUUAAUUGGAGCUUCACCAAUUUCAUCUGAUAACCUAGAUAAAUGAUCUGCUUGCUUGUGCAUCCUUCCUAGCUUAUAUUCUACCAUAUAAUCAAAUUUUUCUAGUAGAAGUAUCCACCUUGCAAGUCUAUCACUUAAAUCAGCCUUAUUCAUAAGGUACUUGAUUGCCUUGUGGUCUAUAAAAAAUACCACUGGAUUUAAGAGAAGGUAAUGUCUAAACUUCUUAAUGGAAAAAACCAUGGCAAAACAUUCUCAUUUCAUGGUAGUAUAAUUUCCCUCUAUAGGAUUCAAUUGCCUACUAGCAAAGGCUAUAGGAUAAUCUUUGCCUUUCUCUCCACUUUCUUGACACAACAUGCUCUCUAUGGCUACCAAUGAAGCAUCACAAAGCACAUGGGAGGGCAAUGACCAAUUGGGAGGUCUUAAGAUAGGAAAAUUACUAAUUUUUUCUUUAAGGAUAUCAAAUGCAUUUUUUACCCCAUUCAAACUUCACUUCUUUUUGUAUUAGUGAAGUUAUGGACAUAGAAAGUGUAGCAUAAGCUUGUAUGACUUCUCGAUACCACCUUAUAUGUCCCAACGUCCUUUGUACCUCUUUCACUAUAGAAGGGGGUUUUAAGUCUACAAUAACUUUGACCUUUUCUAGAUCACGUUCUCUACCCUUUUUCGACACGACAUAUCCUAAUAGAACUCCCUUUUGAACUGCUAGGAAUAUUUUGUUAGGGUUUAAUGCAAUCUUGGCUUUUUGACAAUGUUAAAAUCUAGCCCGAAUACAUUCUAAAUGUUUUGUUUUAGAAGACUGAGUACUAAAGUUGUCAAUGAACACUGUCAUUGAUUUGUGUAAAAGGUCAGAGAAGGCAUAGGACAUGGCUCUUUGAAAUGCAAUUAGAGCAUUACAAAGUCCAAAAGGCAUUACUACAUAAAUAAAAGUACUCCAUGGCGUAGUGAAAGUAGCUUUGUGAUGAUCUUCUUGGGCUAUGGAUAUUUGAUUAUAUCUCGAAUAUUCGUCCAUAAAUGUAUAAAGUUCAUGACUUGCCACUUCUUCUAAAAUAGUAUUAAUGAAAGGAAGAAGAAAAUGAUCUUUUUGAAUGCAUUUAUUAAAUUUCCUAUAGUCUGUGCACACUCAGAGUUUUUCAUUCUUCUUUUUGACUAAAAUCAUAGGUGAAAUCUAAUCCGUAAUCUCCGUAGGUUGAAUAAACCUCGCUUAGAGGAGUUUUUUUGAUUCUACUUUGAUAAUUAAUUAUAGAUUGGGAUUCAUUCUUCUUUCUUUUUGUUCUACAAGAAUUGAAUCAGGGAGGAGAGGGAUUCUAUGUUGGACUACUUCUAGAGGUAUGUCAUUAAGAUCUUUAUAAGACCAUGCGAAUAUAUCCCUAUAUUCCAUAAGUAAUGACUUAUAACUUAUCAACUCAUCCUCUAUCAAUUGAAUCCCUACUUUCAUGAGUUUUGAAUCGUCUUUCUUCAAAGACACAUCCAUUAAUUUGUAAUCAAGGUUGUACACAUGAGCUUGUUCUGUAGGGCCUUUAUACCAAUCAUUUGAAAUUUUUGGAUAACUAACUAUGUCAUUUCUAACUGUAAGACGAUUAGAAGUUUGUUUAUAUUGUAAAGAUGGAAUAAGAUUGCUUUCCUCUAUUAAGUCAUCCAACUGGUGAAUUUAAGUGCUAUAAAAGUUUAUCCCAAGGACAUCUUCAAUUUUUAUGUCAUCUACCAAGAUUUCUAAAUCCACUUCUACUUCAUUGUUUUUUCAAGUGAUAAAACUAUCUAUGAAGUUAACACUUACAACUUCAUGUCCACUUGAAGUAGGAUGAGUUUUCAUCCAUUGGGUGAAUUUUCUAUCAUCUUUCCAAUUGUAUAGUCCUAGGCCUAUACAACUUAAUAGGGUAGUUUGAACUAUACUAAAAUAAACCAAUUCUUUUCUUCCUAAAUUAGCAAAUCUCUCUUUCUUUUCUUUUAAUUCAUUUUGUGGUUAUGAGUUGAAAAUCUCAUCUUCUAAAAAGUGAGAUGAAGUUUUUCCAACAAAAAUCCUUAGAAUUGAAUGAAGAUUUUUGUGAGGUUUUCUAGUGGAUCAUAAAUAAUAUGAGGCUUUUUACCACUCCAAUCAAUCUUGGCACUUGUUGCCCUUAACCAUAGUCUACCUAGAAGCAAUAGAUAUGAAUUCUUGCUAGGAUGCAUAUGUAUAAUAUGAAAUAUGAAGGAAUAUUCUUCACCUCCUGUCAUCAUUCUACAACCACUAAUCUGCCCCAAAAGAGUGUUUUGACUUUGAUUAGCCAUGUUAAUCACAUAGGGAGAGGAUCUUGUGAUAUUAAGUCCUAAUUUUUUUGUAGUCCUUACUGGCAUAAUAUUUAUUCUACUACCUCCAUCCACAAUGGUAUAAGGUAUGAUUUUAUCUACUUUGGACACUUCUAAUUUAAUUGCCUUCACCUCUUUUGCCACUUGAAUUGUUCUAAUGUGGGCCUGAAUUUUUGUCUUAGACCUUUGGCAUCUCUUAAUAGGUAAGCCUAUUUUAAACACUUUUCUCAUUAUUAGAGAAACCUCCAAUAAUUGGGCAAUAGUUAUAUCAGCCUUGAUUUUAUUCAUGUCUUUCCAUAAGUGAUAAGACUCCCUUUGAUCAUUUUGUUUUAGAAGAAAUGAGAUACCACUUUCAAGUUCAGGGAUCUUAAGACCUUCUUACUCUUCUAUAGAAGGAAAUUCCUAUACAAGGAUUUUUUCUUUUUCUAUCUUAGUUUUUUGAGUGGUGGUGGGUUCUAAAUUAUAGAACAUUUUUCUCGAUUUCUUUACAUUAUCCAUUGCCUCUCUUGUAACUUUGUUUAAAUCAAAAAAGUAAGGAGAGUCCAUUGAACUAUCUUUACUAUCUAUUGAGGUAAGAAGGGGAAGACUGCUAUAUCUAGACCUUGUCGUAACUACUAAGGCUAGCAUAUUAAGAAGUCCUUUAUCCUUACUAGGUGUUCCUUCAUGAGAGAUGUAAUGGGUGUAAGAAGACGACGGUUGGUCUCUAAGGAUUUGAAAACCUUGUUCUUCAGUAGGUAUUUCCAAAUACCUUAUAACUUGUGAAUUUCUACUCUCAUUUUAUUGGCCAUAUUGAGGUUGAUCUACAUUUAAUGAAAUAAAUCCUCUCUAUAUGAUUAAACCUAAGAAAGGAUGUUGGGUUUGAUGAUUAUUAUUAUAAUUAUAAAAUAAGUUAGAAGGUCUUAGGGUAUUGUCCUGAUUUGGAUUUCUUGCCUUCUUCAAUUGAUCUUGGGCUUGUUUUUGAUAAUAUCCUUGUAAAUUUUUUAAAAAAAUCACCUUAUCCGAUUACCUAAACACAUCAAUAGGAUGGUUUCUCCCACAAUUUCCAUAUACUAUCCUAUUUUCUAUCUAAUAAUUUCUUGGAAAAUAUUCUUUUCUGUAAAGGUGGUGCAUCUCAUGUUGUUGUCAUUGUAGGUUUUUAAAGCCUUUGAUAGAAUUUUUUUGAGGUUGGAAUUGGAAAUUGGAACUUGUCAUACUAUGAUUUUUAUGAGAUGGAGCAUACAAUUGUGGCCUUUCUUGAUUUUCCUAGUAAUUUUGCUAGUUUGAAAAAAAUUGACUUAUAUGUUCUGAUUGGCUACAUUGAGUGUACCAAAGCCCUGAGGUGUGUCUACUAGAUUCUAUAGGAGAUGAGACUUGGUUUGGAUUUUGAUUCUUAAUUAAAAAAGUCAUUUAUUCUUAGAUAGCCUUCAUUUUUUGGAAAAGUUCAUUUUGAAACUCCCGUUGGCUUUGAAGGACUUAAAGUCCACUUUUCAAGUCCUCUUUUCAUCUAUUCCUAUCUUUUGGGUAUAUCAAUUCAACAAGGUUGGGAGGCAAUCUAACAUCCAAGGGUGUUGAAUAGUGGUACAUAGGUUGAAAUUAGGUUCCCUCAGUCCCAUAUAAGUGCCCUUGGGAAUUAUCUAUGUUUUGAGUAUGUAUUGGGAUGAAGCAAGGUAUUCUAUGAUCUUCUUUCUUUCACAUUCGCUUUUGCUGCUUAUCAAUAUUUUCAAUUACUUGUGCUUAUUUUUUGGCCUUUUCUAAAUUACAUGGUCUUCUCUUGAAGAUUUCUCGAAUUAUUUUCUCACUAUUAAAUCCUUGAAUAAAGAAAUGGAAGAAGGUAUCAUCCAUGAGAAGAAUUUCCACAAAUCGGGUUACUACAAGCUCAAAUCGCCAAAUGUAUUCCGUGAUUUCUUCUCCCUUUCCUUGUCUCAAAGAAGAAAGGGCUGUGAAGGCGUUACUUUGCCCUACUUCUGGCCUGAACUUUUCUAAGAAUGCUCUCAUAAGCAUGUCUUAGUUCUUAAAGGUUUCGGAGGGUGGUUUCUAUACCAUUCAUAAGCCCCAUCUUUUAGGGUACUUGAAAACCAUACUAGAUAAUAACCUGGAUUGGUUAUUAAACAUGUUGUGAGAAGUUCCAUGAAUCUCUCCAUGUGUGCCAAUGGAUCAUCAUCUCUAGUUCUUUUAAAUAUAAGAAGGUUGUGGGGCAUAAAAGCUGCUUGUAAAUCCUUAGGAAUUACUAUUGGUAAGCUCCUUAGUUGAACCAAGUGGUUGAUAGAUAAAAAAGUAGGUAUAGAUUCUCCUUCACAUUCCAUUGGAAGAGAAGGAGGUGUUGACCCUUCUCUCUCUUGAUUUAUCCUUAAAACUAAGUUAGGAGAGUUAGAAUUCAAUCUUUUUUCUCCUACUUCCUUGCCCAGACUUGAUUCAAUUGGAUUUGACAUGAAAAUAUCUUCUAAUGUUGGAGGUGAGGAUUUCUUGACCAAUGAUUGAAUUUCUACUUGUUUAGCUUUGAUUUAUUUUUAUUUCUAAGAGAUUCAAGAUUUCUUAUAGGUGAAGAUAGGUUGGGUUGCUUAGAUCUAGUAGAAUGAUACAUCUACAUGACUAAAGACAUACCGUUCAACUUAGCGUGACUUUUUAACUACCCAAUUCUCCAAUAAUUUAAAUGUUUGGCUCUUCGACGUCCAAUCAACUUAAAUACCUUUCGAGAGGGAAGAAAAACAAAACAAAAAUGCUUGCUAAAGUAUUACCUUUUCCCAUCUACAACUAUAAGAGAGAUUGGAGAUUUACUUCUUUUGCGUCUUCUUCCUAGAUUCUACCCUCCAACUCAUAGCUCCUACUCCUUGUAUUCAAGUAAUUUUCUAAAAUUUCAAAGAAAGAAUAAUUGACAAGGUUCAAGGACUUACGUAUUUGCAAGCUAUUAAUGCUUUUCUCCUUCCUUUUUAUGUUCCUUUUCCUCAAACCAUAAUCUCAAUUGUAUUCUGCUUAAGGCAGCAACCUCUCUCCACUCCAAAAAUCACCAAAAUUUCAGUUUUGAUUCAAUUGUAGUGAAUUUUGUACUACUACGACCUCAACUUUAAUGUGCUUCUACACAAAAUUUUCCACUAUAAACGAAUUACCAGACACUAAGAAAUACAUUUCCAAACAUGAGAUACAUGAAACUGCCAAGGCAGUGAACCUCUUUCUACUCUAAAACUCACUACAACUUCAAAUCAACUUCAAUUUGAACAUUUGAUAGCUUUUUGGAAAGCUUACAUCCAUCCACAUACAUAAUCUUAAGAAUUUUCGACUCAAAAAUUGCAACACAUAAAAACAGAUUGAUGAAAUUCCGAGAGCAAAUCAACAUCCAACUUAACAAAGAAAUUUUUGACUAUCUUAUAAAUUGAGAAUUAGAAAUGCUUUGCUUACACCAAUAAAGAAGAGAUGAAGAACACUUACCACUGAUGAUGAGCUACUUGAAUUCCUCACUCAACAUAAUCAAGCAAGAUCAAUCACAACAAGCAAACUUCACAUUCACACACACCAUUAGAAGCACCAUCUUCUGGCAAAUGCAUCAAAAUGUGAGUGUAAAUUUUACUCCUCAAUCCCAAUUACAAGAUGGCCUCAAUUAAGAGUUGCUUGUAAUUGGUGGUAUGAAGGGAAGUAAGCAAUUAACAAGAACAAAAAAUGAACAACCACAAAACAAUUGAAAUGAAUGACAUGAAGCAAGUACACAAUCAAAAACUAAGUCACAGUCUGUUCACUAUGUUUUCACCCAGUAAAAAUUAAAAGUAUAAAGUAUAAAGUGAAUUUUUAGAUAGGUAAUUUUAUUAUCUUUCCAAUGACGUAAGAAACAUGUAAAUCCGAAUUACUAUGAGUAAGUUAUGAAGUUUUAAAAGACAUGAAGUAAAUAAUUAAAAAAUGAAGUGAAAAUAUUUUAUCUCAAGGAUAACUUUCUUAUAGAUCAAGGGUUCGAGCCUCAACGAGGCUCACAUGUAGUGUAUAUCAGUUGUCUGAAGAGGUCUUGAGGCCUUAGUCUUAUCUUCCUACAUGUAUCCAAGGUGCUACAACCCAUAUGGGACUUGUGCACCUCCUUUUUUAGAAGGACUAUACUAGCUGCUGGUCCUCCUAUUUUCUACUAGUAGAAUUAAUAUUUUUGCAUUUUUUCCUUCACCAUGGUGUUCAAAAACACCCAAUUAGCCUAAAAACAUACUGUGGCCUUCAAACCUUGCUCCAUUUCUUCAUAAUGGCUCUCCAAGUGAUAAAACUCAAUUUUCAAGUGGUCUUGAAAAUUAUCCUAAAAAUUCAUAGAAAAUUCAAAAUAAAUUCUAAAAAUUCCUAUAAUAUUUCUAUAAUUCUAAUAUAAAUUUAAAGAUAUAAUUUCCUAUAUUGAUGAUUUUUUAUAGUAAUAAAAAUCAAUUUGAAUCUACUAAAAAUACUAAAUAAUUUCUAAAUAAAUUCUAAAAAUUCCUAUAAUGUUUCUAUAAUGCUAAUAGAAAUUUGAGGAUAUAAUUUCCUAUAUUCUUGAUUUUUUAUAGUAAUAGAAUCAAUUUAAAUCUACUAUAAAUUCUUCUUUUUAUAUAAAUAAUAAAAAAGACAUGAGGUUCUUUCUCAUGCUUUUAUUAACUACUAACUAACAUUUAUAGUUUUUGUAUAAGUAAUAUAUAUAGAUAUAAGAUCAAUAUAAAUAUUAAUUUAGUAACUAAUUCUUACUCCUCAAUAAUAAGUAAAAAUACUAAACCAACUAAAAUAAUUGCCUCCAAGACUUACUAAGACUCCAUUUCUUCUCCACUAAUACAAUUCUUCUUUCUUUAACAUCUUCUAAAUACAUCUUUACCUAAUAAUUGUAAUUUUGGCACUCUACAUAUAUUCUUUUGUCCUAAAAUAACUACUAAGUCAAUCUGAUGAGUCACAUUGCCUCUUCAAAGGUUGCCUCCUCCCCUUCUUUUUGAGGCCAAGAAUAAAGAAUCUUCAUGGUGAAGCCAUCUUAUCAAGCUUCUAUUCUUCAUUUUAUCACUUUUGGUCUUAAUGGAUGUUGUUGAUGGAACUUUUGAAUUUUUAUUUGUAUAUUUAUAAGGUUAUUAGCAAAUUAUCAUGUGUAAUCGUUGAUAUCAUAUCUGUGUUAAUGGACCAAAUAUUCAAGCUUUCCAUGUCUUAUCCUUGAAUCUAAUAUUUCUUCUACCAAUUUUAACAUGAUCAUUGAUUUCAACUAUAGAAGAUGGUGGUUGUCUUUGAUCUAGUAUAUUUGAUUCUUUAUAUCUUUCCAAUAGUGAAAUAUGAAAGACUGAAUAAAUCUUCAUUGAUGAAGGUAAUUCCAGGCAAUUAAUUAUGUUAUUGAAUUAUUUUUGAAUCAAAAAUAGUUCCAACCUUCGAUAGUCCAACUUAUCACAUGGCUUGUUGGUUUUUAUAUUGCGUUGAAGAAGCCACUAUUUGUCAUCAACUUAGAAUGGAGGAUGUUCCAUCUUCAAUUCAUCCAUUGAUAGCUUAAAACGUUGUUGAGUCUUUUUUAGGUGAAUCUUCAUGGUUGCUUGAAGUUCAGCCAUCUUUGUUGCAAAUUCCCAUGCUGUUGGAUUUCUCAACUUUGAAGGCUCUAUCAUAUUUAAUUUUGGAUGAUGACCAUAGUUUGAAUAGAAUGGUGUUUGUUGCUUAAAUGCAUGGAUUGUGUUGAUAUAUAUAUAAACUCUGUCAAUGACAAGUAGAAAGUUCAAUUGUCUUGUUGAUAGUUGAGAGUACAUCUAAAAUAGUGCUCAAAUAUUUAGUUGAUCCGCUUCGUUUGGCCAUUAAUUUGAGGGUGGAAGACAAAAAAAAGAUUGAUAUUAAUCUUAAGAAUCUUGAAGAGUGCCUUCAAAAACCAUGAUACAAGUUCUGGUUCACGAUCCAACACAAUGUUGUUUGACAACCUCUAAUAAUGAUAGAUAUUAUCAAUAAAGAAUCUUGCCAUCUCUUCACGAGUAAUUGACUUCUUGCAAGGUAUAAAAUGUGCCAUCUUGGUGAAUUGAUCAACAACUAUAAAGUUAGUGUCAAAUGAGCUUGAUGGUAGAAGAUUUAUAAUGAAAUCUAUAGAAAUAGAUGACCAUGGUUGUUUUGGAAUAGGAAGGGGUUGAAAAAGUCCAUAUGGCCAAUGUCAAGGAUUUUUUGACCUUGAACAAGUAUCCCAUGAUAGAAUAAAUUCUUUAAUAUCCUUCCACAUUUUAGGCCAUCGAAAGUCUCUAGAGAGAAGUUUUAAGGUCUUAUUAAAUCCGAAAUGCCUAAUUAUAGGAAAAUCAUGGCAUGUUUGAUGAACAUGUAUGCGAGUUGGCCCUUCAAGAAUGAAUAAAUAUUAUUCAAAGAAUAAGAAAUUAUCUUUAUACUUGAAUUUAGAAGACUCUUCAGAAAGGUUGUUGAUAAGACACUUGAUAAUAAAAACAAGAAGGUCCAUAUUUGAGGCUUUAUGAACUUGAUGAAGAAAUAAUAAAUCUACAACUAUUGAUACAUUGGUUGCUUGAAGAUGAAAUUACUUAGGUUUUAACAAGGUUGCUUGUUGUUGAUCAUUUGCUACCUCAUCUUCUUUUGGUUCAAGGUAGAAACAUCUUGAUAAUGUAUUUGAUAAUUUUUGUUGGCUUCCAUGUUAAUACGUGAUACAAAAGUCAAAUUAUGCUAAAGAUAUAUACCAAUGUACUUGGCGAUUGUUCAAGACUCGAGUUGACAUGAAAUAUUCAAGAUUCUUAUGAUCUGUAUAUAUAAUCACCUCAUGAAAGGCACCUUCAAAAAA